AGCAGUCGCCACGGUAAUACGGAGGGUGCAAGCGUUAAUCGGAAUUACUGGGCGUAAAGCGUGCGUAGGCGGCUUUUUAAGUCGGAUGUGAAAUCCCUGAGCUUAACUUAGGAAUUGCAUUCGAUACUGGGAAGCUAGAGUAUGGGAGAGGAUGGUAGAAUUCCAGGUGUAGCGGUGAAAUGCGUAGAGAUCUGGAGGAAUACCGAUGGCGAAGGCAGCCAUCUGGCCUAAUACUGACGCUGAGGUACGAAAGCAUGGGGAGCAAACAGGAUUAGAUACCCCAGUAGUCCCUGUCUCUUAUAC
rnacentral:rRNA from 1 species